UGCGCAGGCGGUUCCGCAAGUCAGGCGUGAAAUCCCCGGGCUUAACCUGGGAAUGGCGCUUGAAACUACGGGACUGGAGUAUGGCAGAGGGAGGUGGAAUUCCACGUGUAGCGGUGAAAUGCGUAGAGAUGUGGAGGAACACCGAUGGCGAAGGCAGCCUCCUGGGCCAAUACUGACGCUCAUGCACGAAAGCGUGGGGAGCAAACAGGAUUAGAUACCCUGGUAGUCCACGCCCUAAACGAUGAUGACUAGUUGUUGGAGGAGUUAAAUCCUUUAGUAACGCAGCUAACGCGAGAAGUCAUCCGCCUGGGGAGUACGGUCGCAAGAUUAAA
rnacentral:rRNA from 1 species